GAUGAACGCUGGCGGCGUGCCUAAUACAUGCAAGUCGAGCGAACGGACGAGACGCUUGCUUCUCUGAUGUUAGCGGCGCACGAGUGAGUAACACGUGGAUAACCUACUUAUAAGACUGGGAUAACUUCGGGAAACCGGAGCUAAUACCGGAUAAUAUUUUGAACCGCAUGGUUCAAAAGUGAAUGACGGUCUUGCUGUCACUUAUAGCUGGAUCUGCGCUGCAUUAGCUAGUUGGUAAGGUAACGGCUUACCAAGGCAACGAUGCAUAGCCGACCUGGGAGGUGGAUCGGCCACACGGGAGGUGAGACACGGACCUGGCGCCUACGGGAGGCAGCAGUAGGGAAUCUUCCGCAGUGGGCGAAAGCAUGACGGAACAACGCGGCGUGAGUGAUGAAGGUCUUCGGAUCGUAAAACUCUGUUAUUGGGGAAGAACAUAUGUGUAAGUAACUGUGCACAUCGUGACGGUACCUAAUCAGAAAGCCACGGCUAACUACGUG
rnacentral:rRNA from 1 species